CGCGUAGGCGGAUCAUCAAGUCCGGGGUGAAAUCUUUCGGCUUAACCGGAAAAGUGCCUUGGAUACUGGUGAUCUUGAGUGAGGUAGGGGCAGCUGGAACUUCCGGUGGAGCGGUGAAAUGUGUUGAUAUCGGAAGGAACUCCCGUGGCGAAAGCGAGCUGCUGGACCUCUUCUGACGCUGAGGCGCGAAAGCUAGGGGAGCAAACG
rnacentral:rRNA from 1 species